GACGAACGCUGGCGGCGUGCCUAAUACAUGCAAGUCGAACGAGAAUUUUUUACACCGAGUGCUUGCACUCACCGUAAGAAAUUCGAGUGGCGGACGGGUGAGUAACACGUGGGUAACCUGCCCAAAAGAAGGGGAUAACAUUUGGAAACAAAUGCUAAUACCGUAUAACCAUGAUGACCGCAUGGUCAUGAUGUGAAAGGUGGUUUUGCUAUCGCUUUUGGAUGGACCCGCGGCGUAUUAACUAGUUGGUAGGGUAACGGCCUACCAAGGUGAUGAUACGUAGCCGAGUUGAGAGACUGAUCGGCCACAAUGGGACUGAGACACGGCCCAUACUCCUACGGGUGGCAG
rnacentral:rRNA from 1 species